rnacentral:rRNA from 1 species
UAUAUAUAAUGAUAUAAAUUAGUAAUAAUAUUAAUUCAUAUAAAGGAACUCGGCAAAUAUUUACUUGGACUGUUUAACAAAAACAUAACUUUCAGUAUUUAUUGAAAGCUUAACCUGCUCAGUGAUUUCUAUUUAACAGCCGCAGUACACUGACUGUGCUAAGGUAGCAUAAUCAAUUGGUCUUUAAUUGGGAUCGGGUAUGAAUGGAUUUACUAUGUAAAACUGUCUUGUUUAAGAAUAUUACGAAUUUACUUAAAGGGUGAAAAUUCCCUUAAAUUUAACAAAAGACGAGAAGACCCUUAGACUUUUUUAAAUGCAAAAUUAUGUUUAUUUUAUUUUGUUGGGGCGACAAUGAUUCAAAUUUUAACAAUCAGUUAACAUAAAUUUUUAUAUGAAGGUGUGUAUUAAGAAAAAUUAAAGUACCUAAGGGAUAACAGCAUAAUUAAUUAUUUAGAUUGUGACCUCGAUGUUGGAUUAGGUAAUAAAUUAUCAAGAAGAUAUUUUAUUAAGUCCUGUUCGAACUAUGAUUACCACA